rnacentral:rRNA from 1 species
UUGGAGGGCAAGUCUGGUGCCAGCAGCCGCGGUAAUUCCAGCUCCAAUAGCGUAUAUUAAAGUUGUUGCAGUUAAAAAGCUCGUAGUUGAAUUUCGGGAUUGACACAUCGGUCGUGCCUUAAGGGGUAUGAACUGGUGUAGUCAGUUUCUCACCUUCUGGAGAACCGCGAUGUCCCUAAUUGGGUGCCGCGAGGAACCAGGACCUUUACUUUGAAAAAAUUAGAGUGUUUAAAGCAGGCAUUUUGCUUGAAUACAUUAGCAUGGAAUAAUAAAAUAGGACGGAUGGUUCUAUUUUGUUGGUUUCUAGGAUCACCGUAAUGAUUAAUAGGGAUAGUUGGGGGCAUUAGUAUUCAAUUGUCAGAGGUGAAAUUCUUGGAUUUAUUGAAGACUAACUACUGCGAAAGCAUUUGCCAAGGAUGUUUUCAUUAAUCAAGAACGAAAGUUAGGGGAUCGAAGACGAUCAGAUACCGUCGUAGUCUUAACCAUAAACUAUGCCGACUAGGAAUCAGACGAUGUUAAUUUUUUAAUGACUCGUUUGGCACCUUACGGGAAACCAAAGUGUUUGGGUUC